UACAGAGGUCCCGAGCGUUGUUCGGAUUUAUUGGGCGUAAAGGGUGCGUAGGCGGCGGAGUAAGUUGGGUGUGAAAUCCCGGGGCUUAACCUCGGAAUUGCAUUCAAUACUGCUUCGCUUGAGUACUGGAGAGGAGGCUGGAAUUUACGGUGUAGCAGUGAAAUGCGUAGAUAUCGUAAGGAAGGCCGGUGGCGAAAGCGAGCCUCUGGACAGUUACUGACGCUGAUGCACGAAGGCCAGGGGAGCAAAAGGG
rnacentral:rRNA from 1 species